rnacentral:SRP_RNA from 1 species
ACUGAGGCCAACUGUGGCCUGUAAUCCCAAGGAUUAGGGAGGUCAAGGCUGGUGGAUCACUUGAGAUCAGGAAUUGGGAGAUGAAAUGGACUGAAGUUGAUUGGGUAUCUGCAUUGUCCAGCACCAAUAUGGAGAGCCCCUGGGAAUGGGGGAGUACCUAAGGAGGGGCGAACUGACCCAGGCCAGAAAUAUUACAGGUCAAAGCUUCUGUGCCAAUCAAUACUGGGUUUGGGCCUUUGAAUGACUACUAUUCUUCCAGGCCUGGGUGAGAUAGAGAGACCCACUCUCAA